rnacentral:rRNA from 1 species
GACGAACGCUGGCGGCGUGCGAAACACAUGCAAGUCGAACGGAGUGGCGAACGGGUGAGUAACACGUGGGUGAUCUGCCUUGCACUUCGGGAUAAGCUUGGGAAACUGGGUCUAAUACCGGAUAGUGCAAGAUGAGCUCGCGGCCUAUCAGCUUGUUAGUGGGGUAAUGGCCUACCAAGGCGUCGACGGGUAGCCGGCCUGAGAGGGUGUACGGCCACCUUUGGACUGAGGUACGGCUCAGACUCCUACGGGAGGCAGCAGUGUGGAAUAUUGCACAAUGGGCGGAAGCCUGAUGCAGCGACGCCGCGUGGGGAAUGAAGGCCUUCGGGUUUUUAACUCCUUGCUACGGGGACGCGGUACCUCUUCAAGGAGCACCGCCUAACUACGUGCCAGCCGGCGCGUUAGUUC